CAAAUGCAGAAAUCACCCGUCUUCUGCGUCGCUCACGCUGGGAGCUGUAGACCGGAGCUGUUCCUAUUCGGCCAUCUUGGCUCCUUCCCCCCGGAACUCUUAAUCCAGCAUGAUGUUUUGUCUGUUGUUUGACAUGAACAUGAGGAGAAUCGUAAGUUUAAAAAUGCCUUGAACAAAGUGUAACACAGCAUAUGUUAAAACUCUAUGGAAAAGUAGCUCCUGGGAAUACAACAUGGCUGCUGAGGAGUGGAAACUGAGGCUCAGAGAGGGUAAGUGAUUUGAACAGAAUGACACAGGAAGUUGGUGAACAGUAAUAAUAAUGAUUGCAAUUUUUAUUGUGCAUUCAUGAUGUUCCAGGCACUCUUCUAAAUGUUUUUCAUUAUCUACUAAUUUAAUUCAAUAAGCAAUUUUAUGGGUUUAUUAAUAACAGAUGAGAAAAAACAAGGUAUAGAAAAGUUAAAUAUUUUGCACAAGGUUACAAAGCUAGUAAGUGAUGGAGGCAGGAUUUCAACUCAGACAGAAUGGUUCCCAAACUUUGCUCUUACACAUUAUGUUGCUUUUUUUGUCAGAAAUACGUGGACUCACUUUAUGCAUAGUCUAUAAAUGUCUGCAUAUACAUAGGAGAGAAACACACACACACACAUACACACACGCAUCUAGCCUACAUGUACAUUGUUCUCUUUCGUUUGCAAAGCUCUGCCUCUAAACAGGGAAAGGAUGACUAACAGUUCCUUCUGGUUGCUUGAUUACCGUAAUACAAAUUCCUACAAAUGGGAAACCAUUGCCCUAGCUAAUCUUAACUUCCCUACAUCAGUAGCUAUUUCAAGAAAAAGCUAUUCCCAUCUGUUAUAGAAACAUAUUCAGUGACAGCACACAUCUCCUUAUCCUAGUACCAUCCCAUUUCAGUGCAAUGGUGAAAACAGCCUGAUUUUCUUCUUUAAUUCUG
rnacentral:lncRNA from 10 species